CCCUUAGAUGUUCGGGGCCGCACGCGCGCUACACUGAAGGACUCAGCGUGUCUCUCCCCCUAUCCCGAAAGGGAUGGGCAACCCGUUGAACCUCCUUCGUGCUAGAGAUUGGGGUUUGCAAUUAUCCCCCAUGAACGAGGAAUUCCCAGUAAGCGCGAGUCAUCAGCUCGCGUUGAUUACGUCCCUGCCCUUUGUACACACCGCCCGUCGCUACUACCGAUUGGAUGGUUUAGUGAGACCCUCGGAUCGGUCCCGACUCGGGGUGGGCUUCUGCCCCGGUCGUGGUUUCGCCGAGAAGACGGUCAAACUUGACUAUCUAGAGGAAGUAAAAGUCGUAACA
rnacentral:rRNA from 1 species